rnacentral:rRNA from 1 species
AAUCUGGCGCCUUCGGUGUCCGAGUUGUAAUUUGAAGAUUGUAACCUUGGGGUUGGCUCUUGUCUAUGUUUCUUGGAACAGGACGUCACAGAGGGUGAGAAUCCCGUGCGAUGAGAUGCCCAAUCCUAUGUAAGGUGCUUUCGAAGAGUCGAGUUGUUUGGGAAUGCAGCUCUAAGUGGGUGGUAAAUUCCAUCUAAAGCUAAAUAUUGGCGAGAGACCGAUAGCGAACAAGUACAGUGAUGGAAAGAUGAAAAGAACUUUGAAAAGAGAGUGAAAAAGUACGUGAAAUUGUUGAAAGGGAAGGGUUUGAGAUCAGACUCGAUAUUUUGUGAGCCUUGCCUUCGUGGCGGGGUGACCCGCAGCUUAUCGGGCCAGCAUCGGUUUGGGCGGUAGGAUAAUGGCGUAGGAAUGUGACUUUACUUCGGUGAAGUGUUAUAGCCUGCGUUGAUGCUGCCUGCCUAGACCGAGGACUGCGAUUUUAUCAAGGAUGCUGGCAUAAUGAUCCCAAACCGCCCGUCUUGA